GGGUGAUGUGUAGCAAGGAGGAUGAGUGACAUAAUGGGAGCCAUCAAUUUCCUUGUAAAGAAUAGGCACGUUGUUUUGUGGACUAUAUAUAUCUGGAUUUUGGCCAUGUCGUUCCAGAUUCUGCCCAGGAAGACCAAAUCCAGAGCAUCCUCUUGCAGGAUUUUCUGUUUUAGUGCGAGAAGCUUCGUACCGUUUAUUUAAAGGAUUUCUAGAGUCUUUAUCAGUUGUGUGUAUUUUGUUUUUUUCAGUUUAACGGUGAAUCUAG
rnacentral:lncRNA from 1 species